rnacentral:tRNA from 1 species
GCCUGGGUGGCUCAGUUGGUUGGGUGCCUGACUUCAGCUCAGGUCAUGAUCUUGAUGUCUGUGGGUUCAAGUCCUGUGUCGGGCU